UUUAAUUUGAGAGUUUGAUCCUGGCUCAGGAUGAACGCUGGCGGCGUGCCUAACACAUGCAAGUCGAACGAAGCAAUCAGAAUGAAAUUUUCGGAUGGAUUUCUGGUUGACUGAGUGGCGGACGGGUGAGUAACGCGUGGAUAACCUGCCUCACACUGGGGGAUAAC
rnacentral:rRNA from 1 species